rnacentral:tRNA from 1 species
GGGGAUUUAGCUCAGUGGUAGAGCGCUUGCCUAGCAAAUGCAAGGUCCUGGGUUCGGUCCCCAGCUCCG